ensembl:antisense 4921518K17Rik RIKEN cDNA 4921518K17 gene
GUCCUUUGUGAUAUGCACUUCAUCUUUCCUGUGCUUUCAGAACUCUGGGGGCCAGGAAUCAUAAUUAUAAUUGUGCACUUGGGAGUUAGAGAAUCUUACAGCUCUUAAAGUAUCUACCUCUUUCCAUCUUGACUCAAACUUGUGACAAUUUCUCUUCUACAAAGCUUCCUCCUGUUCCACCUGGAAGAUGCUUGACACAGUCUCCGGGAGCUCCUCAUAAAUGCUCGGCUGGAGAAAAAGGAAAGAACAAAAGGUUCAUCUCAUCAGUCCUCCACGGCCUUCAGUUCUACAGCGUAUUCCAUCCAGUGACAGAAUGGUCUUCUUUCCCCACAGCACACAGAAAUGGAAUGGGAGACCAGCAGGAGGGGCCAGGAAGACAGGAAGAUCACAAGAACUAAAAGUAUAUAUAAAAACGCCAUGAGGGGGUCCAUGGCUUCAUACGCUAAUUCUCAAAAUAACUCAUAGGUAAGGGGAAAGCAAGCCUGCUCCCCUGAAACUUUUUCUAGCAGCAGCUCUGAUGUAGUCUGUGACCUGAUCCUCUGCCAAUGCUCAAUCGGCUAAUAAAUGGACUCUAAGAGACAGUUGUGAAGUGACGGUUCCCUACAACUCUCCGAGACAAUUCUGCCUGUGCCUGGACUGCUCACGAUGGGCACAUGGUCACGUGGUACAGCUACAGGAGCUACCGUGGAAUAAGAACAAUAGAAAAGAGGGUCUUCUAGCUCUCAGGUUUCAAGGGAACCUGGCAGAACGGAAGGAAAGGGAGAAGAAAAAUCACUACUGAUUUCAGAUGGGAGAGUGAUGAGUUUGGGUCAUCCUUUUGCACUUCCUCGCCUCUCUGAACUGAAUUUCUUGGCCAGAGUAAACUCGCAGGGAAGUAUUACAUGCAAGGUGCUAUUGGGAUGAGCACCAGUGUUUCUACCCAGCGCUCAGGGUAAGUCCAAAUAGAGAAACAACAGGGAGAUGUAUUCAUUAAGAAUGGAAAACAGAAAUGACCUAGGACCUGACCUAGGACCAUUUCCCAUGGAGAAUCUAAAAGCUGCAAGCUUCCAGGGAAGAAAUGGACAAGUGUGUAGCAUGCCAAGGCACUGGAGCAGCGUGUGAUUCUCAGAGCACUUACAAGGCCCGGCUGGCACAGCCUGAGAAUGACAAAUUACUUCUAUGUGCCCCACAGGUAGAUACAGAUUAGAAUGUUUUGGACAAAGAUAGAUGCCUCAGCAGAAGUGCUCAGUAUGGCCUAUGACACAGGGAAAAUGUACCCCAAUAUCUAGUCAACAUACCUACUUGGGAGUAUACUUAAUAUGAACCCAGACUAUUUUAUAAAUUAACUGCACCUAAUAAUAAUAAUAACAAUAAUAAUAAUAAGCAAAAACAAAAAAUCAGUCUUCCAUCACAUCGGCAUAGUUUUCACAUGUCCUGUGUGAUAGUUUGUAUAUGCUUGGCCCAGAGAGUGGCACUAUUAGAAGGUGUGACCCUGUUAGAGUUUGUGUGUCACUGUGGGUGUGGCUUUAAGACCCUUAUCCUAGCUGCCUGGAAGUCAGUAUUCUGCCAGCAGUCUUCAGAUGAAGAUGUAGAACUCUCAGCUCCUCUUGUACCAUGCUUCUCUGGAUGUCGCCAUGUUCCUGACUUGAUGAUACUGGACUGAACCUCUGAACCUGUAAGCCAGCCCCAGUUAAAUGUUGUUCUUAUAAGAGUUGCUUUAGGUCACUGUGUCUGUUCAAAGCAGAAAAAAACCCUAAUUAAGGCAUCCUGGAGGACAUGACAGUAAAAUNNNNNNNNNNNNNNNNNNNNNNNNNNNNNNNNNNUAAACACAAAAGAUUUCCCCAUUUAACCACUGUAUUAUUAUCCAGGGAUGGCACUACUAUGCCAGUUGUAGCCUCUCUGUUUUAUUAUUAUCAUUGUUAUUAUUAUUUAUACAAGUACAUUGUAGCUGUCUUCAGACACACACUAGAAGAGUGCAUCAGAUCCCAUUACAGAUGGUCGUGAGCCACCAUGUGGCUGCUGGGAAUUGAAUGCAAGACCUUUCAGAAGAGCAGUCAGUGCUCUUAACCACUGAGCCAUCUCUCCAGGCCUGUAGCCUCUCUGUUAACAGCACUUUUAUCACCAAGCUCAUCUGUCUCUCUCUCUGCAAUUACACAAAUGUACACACUGAAUAAAGAAGCCCAUUCUGUAAAUGGAGCACCAGGCAUACUGGGAUUAGCAGCCAAAUGAAACAGAUGAAUGGAUUUUUGUUAAUAAGGAAGAGGUGUUAUUAUUGUUAGUUGAUGCGAUUUUCAACAAAAUGUUAAUAAUUUUUUCAACAACUACACACUGAAGCUGUUCACUUCAUUUUGAAUAGCCUGCUCUUCCCUCUAAAACUGCCCAUGAAGGUAUAUUUCUCCAUGUCUUCUUGUAUUGCCUUUUUUUUCCAAUCCUUCCUGUACUGUUAUUGUCUAGUAAUAAGUUAUUUUUCUUUCCAGAAACUGAUUGUGUCCUGAUGUGUUAAGAUUCUAACCUAUGAGACUUGUUUGUAUUUUAAGGCACUUUGUCACCCUGUCCCAUGUCAAUAUUGCUUUGAUGUUCCAUUUAAGCAGAGUAUCAUUUGUUCCAUUUCAAGAGUCCUUAACUGGUCUUAGCAUACGUGGCUGUUUCUCCUGCUGCACACACAUUAGUCUGACGCUGGUAUCCUGUUGUAUGUUCUGCUGCUGACUGCAUUGCCUGCUUUGUUCUUUCAUUCUCUGGUCCUUCUGGCACACUACGGUUCCUUACAUUCAUGAUUCAGAAUGUAUCAAUAGAUAAAAGCUUGUGACAACUGCAUUAUGGAAUUUCAUUACAAAUCAUGAUCGUUUUCCCGGUAUGUUACAAAUAAGUCAUAUUAAUCUUGACAUCACUAUACAGACAAAAAAAUAUAACUAUGAAUUUUAUUUCAUGACAGUAAAUAGGAUAAAAUAUAUCAAAUAAGAAGAAAAGGCUAGACUAGCUACCUCGGAGAUGUCAUCUCACCAUGCAAAGUCCUCCAUUCCUUAAAUACCACAGGACAGUUCUGCCUUGGGACUCUGCAGUUGCCCUUGCUGCACCUGGAACAAUCCUCAUCUACUCAUGAACCACAGGCUGGCCUCCAUGUUUCCUUCAGACAGGCCCCGGAGACUCAGUCUGUGGCUUCCUGCUAGCAAGAAUGCAGAUGUGAUAGAUUACCUGUGGUAGCCAUACUGGACCUCAAGAUGACCGUGGGAACGAGGAUCACGGGAGGCGGGGCUCUGAGCUGACAGGAAUCUAGACCUUGGCCUGCCAGAUGCCAUAUCUCUCCUGCACUACCUUUAUAAGACAUUUUUUUUGAACGAGGAAGAAAUAAACUUUGAUGUAGUCUAAGCCACUGUU